rnacentral:rRNA from 1 species
GGUUAAGCGACUAAGCGUACACGGUGGAUGCCCUGGCAGUCAGAGGCGAUGAAGGACGUGCUAAUCUGCGAAAAGCGUCGGUAAGGUGAUAUGAACCGUUAUAACCGGCGAUGUCCGAAUGGGGAAACCCAGUGUGAUUCGUCACACUAUCGUUAACUGAAUACAUAGGUUAACGAGGCGAACCGGGGGAACUGAAACAUCUAAGUACCCCGAGGAAAAGAAAUCAACCGAGAUUCCCCCAGUAGCGGCGAGCGAACGGGGAGCAGCCCAGAGUCUGAAUCAGCUUGUGUGUUAGUGGAACGGUCUGGAAAGUCCGACGGUACAGGGUGAUAGUCCCGUACACCAAAAUGCACAGGCUGUGAACUCGAAGAGUAGGGCGGGACACGUGGUAUCCUGUCUGAAUAUGGGGGGACCAUCCUCCAAGGCUAAAUACUCCUGACUGACCGAUAGUGAACCAGUACCGUGAGGGAAAGGCGAAAAGAACCCCGGCGAGGGGAGUGAAAAAGAACCUGAAACCGUGUACGUACAAGCAGUGGGAGCACCUUCGGGUGUGACUGCGUACCUUUUGUAUAAUGGGUCAGCGACUUAUAUUCUGUAGCAAGGUUAACCGUAUAGGGGAGCCGCAGGGAAACCGAGUCUUAACUGGGCGUUAAGUUGCAGGGUAUAGACCCGAAACCCGGUGAUCUAGCCAUGGGCAGGUUGAAGGUUGGGUAACACUAACUGGAGGACCGAACCGACUAAUGUUGAAAAAUUAGCGGAUGACUUGUGGCUGGGGGUGAAAGGCCAAUCAAACCGGGAGAUAGCUGGUUCUCCCCGAAAGCUAUUUAGGUAGCGCCUCGUGAAUUCAUCUUCGGGGGUAGAGCACUGUUUCGGCUAGGGGGUCAUCCCGACUUACCAACCCGAUGCAAACUACGAAUACCGAAGAAUGUUAUCACGGGAGACACACGGCGGGUGCUAACGUCCGUCGUGAAGAGGGAAACAACCCAGACCGCCAGCUAAGGUCCCAAAGUCAUGGUUAAGUGGGAAACGAUGUGGGAAGGCACAGACAGCCAGGAUGUUGGCUUAGAAGCAGCCAUCAUUUAAAGAAAGCGUAAUAGCUCACUGGUCGAGUCGGCCUGCGCGGAAGAUGUAACGGGGCUAAACCAUGCACCGAAGCUGCGGCAGCGACACUAUGUGUUGUUGGGUAGGGGAGCGUUCUGUAAGCCUGCGAAGGUGACCUGUGAGGGUUGCUGGAGGUAUCAGAAGUGCGAAUGCUGACAUAAGUAACGAUAAAGCGGGUGAAAAGCCCGCUCGCCGGAAGACCAAGGGUUCCUGUCCAACGUUAAUCGGGGCAGGGUGAGUCGACCCCUAAGGCGAGGCCGAAAGGCGUAGUCGAUGGGAAACAGGUUAAUAUUCCUGUACUUGGUGUUACUGCGAAGGGGGACGGAGAAGGCUAUGUUAGCCGGGCGACGGUUGUCCCGGUUUAAGCAUGUAGGCUGAUUAUCCAGGCAAAUCCGGAUAAUCAAGGCUGAGGUGUGAUGACGAGGCACUACGGUGCUGAAGUAACAAAUGCCCUGCUUCCAGGAAAAGCCUCUAAGCAUCAGGUAACAUCAAAUCGUACCCCAAACCGACACAGGUGGUCAGGUAGAGAAUACCAAGGCGCUUGAGAGAACUCGGGUGAAGGAACUAGGCAAAAUGGUGCCGUAACUUCGGGAGAAGGCACGCUGGUGUGUAGGUGAAGUCCCUGCGGAUGGAGCUGAGACCAGUCGAAGAUACCAGCUGGCUGCAACUGUUUAUUAAAAACACAGCACUGUGCAAACACGAAAGUGGACGUAUACGGUGUGACGCCUGCCCGGUGCCGGAAGGUUAAUUGAUGGGGUUAUCCGUAAGGAGAAGCUCUUGAUCGAAGCCCCGGUAAACGGCGGCCGUAACUAUAACGGUCCUAAGGUAGCGAAAUUCCUUGUCGGGUAAGUUCCGACCUGCACGAAUGGCGUAAUGAUGGCCAGGCUGUCUCCACCCGAGACUCAGUGAAAUUGAACUCGCUGUGAAGAUGCAGUGUACCCGCGGCAAGACGGAAAGACCCCGUGAACCUUUACUAUAGCUUGACACUGAACAUUGAGCCUUGAUGUGUAGGAUAGGUGGGAGGCUUUGAAGCGUGGACGCCAGUCUGCGUGGAGCCAACCUUGAAAUACCACCCUUUAAUGUUUGAUGUUCUAACGUUGGCCCCUGACCGGGGUUGCGGACAGUGUCUGGUGGGUAGUUUGACUGGGGCGGUCUCCUCCCAAAGCGUAACGGAGGAGCACGAAGGUUAGCUAAUCCUGGUCGGACAUCAGGAGGUUAGUGCAAUGGCAUAAGCUAGCUUGACUGCGAGCGUGACGGCGCGAGCAGGUGCGAAAGCAGGUCAUAGUGAUCCGGUGGUUCUGAAUGGAAGGGCCAUCGCUCAACGGAUAAAAGGUACUCCGGGGAUAACAGGCUGAUACCGCCCAAGAGUUCAUAUCGACGGCGGUGUUUGGCACCUCGAUGUCGGCUCAUCACAUCCUGGGGCUGAAGUAGGUCCCAAGGGUAUGGCUGUUCGCCAUUUAAAGUGGUACGCGAGCUGGGUUUAGAACGUCGUGAGACAGUUCGGUCCCUAUCUGCCGUGGGCGCUGGAGAAUUGAGGGGGCUGCUCCUAGUACGAGAGGACCGGAGUGGACGCAUCACUGGUGUUCGGGUUGUCAUGCCAAUGGCACUGCCCGGUAGCUAAAUGCGGAAGAGAUAAGUGCUGAAAGCAUCUAAGCACGAAACUUGCCCCGAGAUGAGUUCUCCCUGAGACUAUAAGUCUCCUGAAGGAACGUUAAAGACGAUGACGUUGAUAGGCCGGGUGUGUAAGCGCAGCGAUGCGUUGAGCUAACCGGUACUAAUGAACCGUGAGGCUUAACCUU